AGUGAACGCUGGCGGUAGGCCUAACACAUGCAAGUCGAACGGCAGCACAGGAGAGCUUGCUCUCUGGGUGGCGAGUGGCGGACGGGUGAGGAAUACAUCGGAAUCUACUCUGUCGUGGGGGAUAACGUAGGGACACUUACGCUAAUACCGCAUACGACCUACGGGUGAAAGCAGGGGACCUUCGGGGCUUGCGCGAUUGAAUGAGCCGGUGUCGGACUAGCUAGUUGGCGGGGGAAAGGCCAGCCAAGGCGACGAUCCGUAGCUGGUCUGAGAGGGUGAUCAGCCACACUGGAACUGAGACACGGUCCAGACUCCUACGGGAGGCAGCAGUGGGGAAUAAUGGACAAUGGGCGCAAGCCUGAUCCGGCCAUACCGCGUGGGUGAAGAAGGCCUUCGGGUUGUAAAGCCCUUUUGUUGGGAAAGAAAUCCAGCUGGCUAAUACCCGGUUGGGAUGACGGUACCCAAAGAAUAAGCACCGGCUAACUUCGUGCCAGCCGCCGCGGUAA
rnacentral:rRNA from 1 species